rnacentral:rRNA from 1 species
ACAAAAGCGCAUGUGCUGUGAGCUCGAUGAGUAGGGCGGGACACGUGGUAUCCUGUCUGAAUAUGGGGGGACCAUCCUCCAAGGCUAAAUACUCCUGACUGACCGAUAGUGAACCAGUACCGUGAGGGAAAGGCGAAAAGAACCCCGGCGAGGGGAGUGAAAAAGAACCUGAAACCGUGUACGUACAAGCAGUGGGAGCCCCACCACCAAAGCAUUCUCUGGUGUUGAAGGCCCUGCAAAGCAGCAUCGCGGUGGCGGAGCGUCGUUUGCGACGCCCAACACACAAAACAAGCGGUGAGUGCUUUGGGGUGGGGUGACUGCGUACCUUUUGUAUAAUGGGUCAGCGACUUAUAUUCUGUAGCAAGGUUAACCGAAUAGGGGAGCCGGAGGGAAACCGAGUCUUAAUUGGGCGUUAAGUUGCAGGGUAUAGACCCGAAACCCGGUGAUCUAGCCAUGGGCAGGUUGAAGGUUGGGUAACACUAACUGGAGGACCGAACCGACUAAUGUUGAAAAAUUAGCGGAUGACCUGUGGCUGGGGGUGAAAGGCCAAUCAAACCGGGAGAUAGCUGGUUCUCCCCGAAAGCUAUUUAGGUAGCGCCUCGUGAAUUCAUCUCCGGGGGUAGAGCACUGUUUCGGCUAGGGGGCCAUCCCGGCUUACCAACCCGAUGCAAACUGCGAAUACCGGAGAAUGUUAUCACGGGAGACACACGGCGGGUGCUAACGUCCGUCGUGAAGAGGGAAACAACCCAGACCGCCAGCUAAGGUCCCAAAGUCAUGGUUAAGUGGGAAACGAUGUGGGAAGGCCCAGACAGCCAGGAUGUUGGCUUAGAAGCAGCCAUCAUUUAAAGAAAGCGUAAUAGCUCACUGGUCGAGUCGGCCUGCGCGGAAGAUGUAACGGGGCUAAACCAU